AUUGAACGCUGGCGGCAGGCCUAACACAUGCAAGUCGAACGAGUGGCGGACGGGUGAGUAAUGUCUGGGAAACUGCCUGAUGGAGGGGGAUAACUACUGGAAACGGUAGCUAAUACCGCAUACCCUCGGAUGAGCCCAGAUGGGAUUAGCUAGUCGGUGGGGUAAAGGCUCACCUAGGCGACGAUCCCUAGCUGGUCUGAGAGGAUGACCAGCCACACUGGAACUGAGACACGGUCCAGACUCCUACGGGAGUCAGCAUGGGGGAAUAUUGCACAGUUGGCGCAAGCCUGAUGCAGCCAUGCCGCGUGUAUGAAGAAGUCCGUUGGGUUUUAAAUUACUUUCAGCGGGGAUGCGUUACCCGCAGAAGAAGCACCGGCUAACUCCGUGCCAGCAGCCGCGGUAAUUC
rnacentral:rRNA from 1 species